rnacentral:lncRNA from 1 species
CAUCAAAAUUUGUUGUGGUAGUGACGUCAACGGCCUUGGACACAAAUGGCAUGAGUUAGGAGGAAACGCAUUCCGACCAAUUAUUUCCCGUUAUUGACAUGAAUUAAGAGUCAACACGUUAAACAGAUAUAACAAAGAACCGUGUGUAAUCAAGCGAUGCCAAUAUGAGUGUUGACGCUUACGCCCCGAAUUCCCAAACGUUGACAUUCCUCGAAACAGAGGAGGAUCUCCUUGGGGCCGACACGCAAGGAACUGAUUUUGAUUUCACUGAUUUUACGCUCCCGUCUCAGACACAAUCUCAAACUCAAGCAUCACAGCUUGACUCCAAUCAAAGCCAGGUGAAUA